AAAAAUUUUUUUUGCAUGGAUUUGGAACGUUUGGCUACGUUUGCCGCCAGGGGCGCUGUUCCAACUGCAUACAAAUUUGAGUUA
rnacentral:pre_miRNA from 1 species